GGCGAACGGGUGAGUAACACGUGAGUAACCUGCCCCUGACUCUGGGAUAAGCGUUGGAAACGACGUCUAAUACUGGAUAUGACUGCCGGCCGCAUGGUCUGGUGGUGGAAAGAUUUUUUGGUUGGGGAUGGACUCGCGGCCUAUCAGCUUGUUGGUGAGGUAAUGGCUCACCAAGGCGACGACGGGUAGCCGGCCUGAGAGGGUGACCGGCCACACUGGGACUGAGACACGGCCCAGACUCCUACGGGAGGCAGCAGUGGGGAAUAUUGCACAAUGGGCGAAAGCCUGAUGCAGCAACGCCGCGUGAGGGAUGACGGCCUUCGGGUUGUAAACCUCUUUUAGUAGGGAAGAAGCGUAAGUGACGGUACCUGCAGAAAAAGCACCGGCUAACUACGUGCCAGCAGCCGCGGUAAUACGUAGGGUGCAAGCGUUGUCCGGAAUUAUUGGGCGUAAAGAGCUCGUAGGCGGUUUGUCGCGUCUGCUGUGAAAUCCCGAGGCUCAACCUCGGGCUUGCAGUGGGUACGGGCAGACUAGAGUGCGGUAGGGGAGAUUGGAAUUCCUGGUGUAGCGGUGGAAUGCGCAGAUAUCAGGAGGAACACCGAUGGCGAAGGCAGAUCUCUGGGCCGUAACUGACGCUGAGGAGCGAAAGCGUGGGGAGCGAACAGGAUUAGAUACCCUGGUAGUCCACGCCGUAAACGUUGGGCGCUAGAUGUAGGGACCUUUCCACGGUUUCUGUGUCGUAGCUAACGCAUUAAGCGCCCCGCCUGGGGAGUACGGCCGCAAGGCUAAAACUCAAAGGAAUUGACGGGGGCCCGCACAAGCGGCGGAGCAUGCGGAUUAAUUCGAUGCAACGCGAAGAACCUUACCAAGGCUUGACAUACACCGGAAACGGCCAGAGAUGGUUGCCCCCUUGUGGUCGGUGUACAGGUGGUGCAUGGUUGUCGUCAGCUCGUGUCGUGAGAUGUUGGGUUAAGUCCCGCAACGAGCGCAACCCUCGUUCUAUGUUGCCAGCGCGUUAUGGCGGGGACUCAUAGGAGACUGCCGGGGUCAACUCGGAGGAAGGUGGGGAUGACGUCAAAUCAUCAUGCCCCUUAUGUCUUGGGCUUCACGCAUGCUACAAUGGCCGGUACAAAGGGCUGCGAUACCGUAAGGUGGAGCGAAUCCCAAAAAGCCGGUCUCAGUUCGGAUUGAGGUCUGCAACUCGACCUCAUGAAGUCGGAGUCGCUAGUAAUCGCAGAUCAGCAACGCUGCGGUGAAUACGUUCCCGGGCCUUGUACACACCGCCCGUCAAGUCAUG
rnacentral:rRNA from 1 species